rnacentral:rRNA from 1 species
GAUGAACGCUGGCGGCGUGCCUAAUACAUGCAAGUCGAGCGAACAGACGAGGAGCUUGCUCCUCUGAUGUUAGCGGCGGACGGGUGAGUAACACGUGGAUAACCUACCUAUAAGGCUGGGAUAACUUCGGGAAACCGGAGCUAAUACCGGAUAACAUGUUGAACCGCAUGGUUCAACAGUGAAAGACGGUUUUGCUGUCACUUAUAGAUGGAUCCGCGCCGCAUUAGCUAGUUGGUAAGGUAACGGCUUACCAAGGCAACGAUGCGUAGCCGACCUGAGAGGGUGAUCGGCCACACUGGAACUGAGACACGGUCCAGACUCCUACGGGAGGCAGCAGUAGGGAAUCUUCCGCAAUGGGCGAAAGCCUGACGGAGCAACGCCGCGUGAGUGAAGAAGGUCUUCGGAUCGUAAAACUCUGUUAUUAGGGAAGAACAAAUGUGUAAGUAACUAUGCACGUCUUGACGGUACCUAAUCAGAAAGCCACGGCUAACUACGUG